CAUGUAGCCGCACAACACGAGGAAAAACAAUGCAGUGGAAGUGCGGUGCAUUCGGGUCGAACGCGCGUAGCGGCACAUUUUGUUCGUCUGAAGACAACGCGCACGUGCUGCAAGACAGAGGAUGGUCUUUCCGCAGUCAUUCCGCUGGUCACUCAAUGCGCAUAUCAGCCGGGCAAGCCAAGCAACUCAGGUGGAUAUUUCCUGGUUCUAGAAAUUCUGCCUGAUCGUUGCUUGUUUUUUUCUUUGACCACAUCAAAUACUCUGACGGGAAAUUCAUCUAGUGUAUUGGAAAUUAAUGAAUUAUUGAAUUGAGGCCCAACCCACUCAACAUAGCGAAAACAAGCGGAAGGCUUCUCCAGACAAGGUGACCCGCCGACUGCGCCGGGUAGUUCGAGUAGCAAAGUGCUUCUCUAGUCGUUUUGUCUGCAUAUGAGGUAAUUCGUAGAUCAAUUCGGGUUGUCGCGGCACCGGUUCUUUUGUGUCCGUCUGUGCGUGAUACUUUCAGCCGCAGCACACUACUGCAGCCGUUUCCGCAAUGUGGGACUUUGUAGGCACUAGUAUCUCACCAGAGUGCGACGAAUUGCCACCUCGCGUAAGGAGCUGACUGGGGUAGAGGAAAACGCCACGAUACGGAGAGAGGGGGUUCUUCACACUGCUCGACAUGAAGGCAAGCUGAUAAACACAACGAUCGCGCUGUGUUGAUGUUAUUGCCAUUCCUUCCUCAUCACGAUCUUCCACUCUGCAAACCCGAGCUGCACUCCUGGGGGAUCCGAAAUUGGUGUACCACAUCCAAGCAUGUAUAUAUGUACACGCGUUAUAGUGGCGAUCUUACUUGCAUCGAAACAUGUCCCAAUGAAUGUGGGCACCACAAGUUGCACGCACAGGGAAGAUGUACCAACGCCCGGAGAAUUUCGAGAACUAGGAAAUAUCCACCUCAGUUGCUUGGUUUGCCCGGCUGACAUGCGGAUGAGGUGACCAGGGGCAUGACUGUCGAGGGACCGUGCACGUGUCUUGCGUCAUGUGUGCGUACAGCCUUUAGCAACUGUAGUUGCAUGUCUACAACGAAGCAUGAAUACAGGGUGCACUGCGACACUGAAGAUGCAAGUCUGUCUCUUUCGUCGUGUACACAGGAGAGCGACCACCUUCCCAGGCUACAUUCUCCGGUUGCGCUCAUCUACUUCUGACGUCAACGUGAGGGUCUCUCUCUUGCUCGAGGUAUUUGAGCCAACGGCCGCAGGCAUCAUAGGUCGGGCUACAUUGUCGACGAACAACAAGGGUAAAAUAAUUACAUAUAAUGAGCACCGUAGGGGCGCGCAGUAUGAACUAAAUGUGUUUGAGCAAAGUGGUGCGCGCAACCUGUGUUCAUGUUUUAGGUGCGGUUGUGCCUCUGCGGAGGAUCUUUCUAGAGUCAUCAUCGAAUGUAAGUGAUGUGAUAAGCCUAUAUAUCCCAUAUAUGCCACUCGCACGCGCACAAACUUCUCCAGUCCCCGACGACAACGUACGAGUAUCCCAUCGUGGUUCCACAUGUCGCGUACAACCACUGAGGAAACAUGUGAAAACGUUGACUGUAGCAAAUGCAAUCGAAAAUGUCUUGGGUAUCGCUUGUGUGAUGCAAAGAAAAAUCCGUCUGCUUGGAACUUAAGGUGUGGCCGGGGUUCUUCCUUGUCCAAAAAGAGUCAUCCACAGCCCGCAUAAGUUCAUUCUGCUGGAACUUCUAUACUUCUGUGCCUUAAACUACUUGCCUUGGUACGCUCACGCCCAGACAAACGUUUUCUCGUCUAAGACUUCAGAAUCUCGUAAUACGUGAAGCUGUUGCUAGUUUUCAAGAGUGUCCCACGAGCUUCUGAUCAAAAC
rnacentral:lncRNA from 1 species